rnacentral:lncRNA from 1 species
UAUUGCAAUUUGUAUGUAACAAUAUUUUUCAUUGGCUAAAAGUUGCCGUCAAAUCCACAGUUGACCAGGCGUAACUAAGGAUUGACCCGCCAUUUUGAAUUGUUGAAUCAACAAAUGUUCGAUUACUACUAUAUAAUCAAAAAUAAAACAACACCUACCUCGAAUUCGACGUUUUAAUGUAAUUUUUUCCGAAUUUGAAUCGUACAGGUAACAUAACACCUCCAGUUUGUAAGUUUUCAUUUGUAUGACGUCACGUUUAACCAUGACGUCUUUGCGCCUUUAUCAUUCAUGAAGUUUCGCGGAUUUUUCUUAUUUGUUAAAUUUAGACCUUUUUCAAGUUUUAUCGUAUUAUUUCUUUUUGUAAUGCAUUAGAAUCGGAAUAACAGUACUGUUAUUCCAUAAGCAGCAUAAACUCAGCUUCAUAUCACGUGUGAAAGGGGUUGUGAUCUGAAAGAUCAGCAUGUCAAAAGAGUUGUGAUGUGAAAAGUCAACAUGUCCAGUGAGUUGUGAUCUGAAAGAUCAGCAUGUCCAUUGAGUUGUGAUGUGAAAAGUCAAC